UGGGGAAUCUUGCACAAUGGGGGAAACCCUGAUGCAGCGACGCCGCGUGAGCGAUGAAGGUUUUCGAAUCGUAAAGCUCUGUCCUAUGGGAAGAUAAUGACGGUACCAUAGGAGGAAGCCCCGUCUAACCAUGUGCCAGCAGCCGCGGUACUACGUAGGGGGCGAGCGUUGUCCGGAAUUACUGGGCGUAAAGGGUUCGCAGGCGGCAUGACAAGUCCGAUGUAAAAGGCGAAAGCUCAACUUUCGUAAGCAUCGGAAACUGUCAAUCUUGAGUGAAGUAGGGGCAAGUGGAAUUCCUGGUGUAGCGGUGGAAUGCGUAAAGAUUAGGAGGAAUACCGGUGGCGAAGGCGACUUGCUGGACUUCAACUGACGCUGAGGAACGAAAGCGUGGGUAGCAAACAGG
rnacentral:rRNA from 1 species